rnacentral:rRNA from 1 species
UACGGGGGGGAGCAAGCGUUGUUCGGAUUUACUGGGCGUAAAGGGCGCGUAGGCGGCGCAACAAGUCACUUGUGAAAUCUCCGGGCUUAACCCGGAGCGGCCAAGUGAUACUGUCGUGCUAGAGUGCGGAAGGGGCUACUGGAAUUCUCGGUGUAGCGGUGAAAUGCGUAGAUAUCGAGAGGAACACCUGCGGCGAAGGCGGGUAGCUGGGCCGGACACUGACGCUGAGGCGCGAAAGCCAGGGGAGCGAACGGG